rnacentral:rRNA from 1 species
UACGAGGGGUCCAAGCGUUGCUCGGAAUCAUUGGGCGUAAAGCGAGUGUAGGUGGCUUUUCAAGUCAGGAGUGAAAGCCCUGGGCCUAACCCAGGAAGUGCUUUUGAUACUGUUAAGCUUGAAUGUGGGAGAGGACCGUGGAAUUCCAGGUGUAGUGGUGAAAUACGUAGAUAUCUGGAGGAACACCGGUGGCGAAGGCGGCGGUCUGGCCCAACAUUGACACUGAGACUCGAAAGUGCGGGGAUCAAACAGGAUUAGAUGACCCUA